GUGGCUGUGGCUUAGUGAUAGAGCGCUCAUCUAGCAUGCGGGAGGCUCUGGGUUUGAUCCUCAGCACCACA
rnacentral:tRNA from 1 species